GAUGAACGCUGGCGGCGUGCCUAAUACAUGCAAGUCGAGCGAACAGACGAGGAGCUUGCUCCUCUGACGUUAGCGGCGGACGGGUGAGUAACACGUGGAUAACCUACCUAUAAGACUGGGAUAACUUCGGGAAACCGGAGCUAAUACCGGAUAAUAUAUUGAACCGCAUGGUUCAAUAGUGAAAGACGGUUUUGCUGUCACUUAUAGAUGGAUCCGCGCCGCAUUAGCUAGUUGGUAAGGUAACGGCUUACCAAGGCAACGAUGCGUAGCCGACCUGAGAGGGUGAUCGGCCACACUGGAACUGAGACACGGUCCAGACACCUACGGGAGGCAGCAGUAGGGAAUCUUCCGCAAUGGGCGAAAGCCUGACGGAGCAACGCCGCGGGAGUGAGGAAGGUCUUCGGAUCGUAAAACUCUGUUAUUAGGGAAGAACAAAUGUGUAAGUAACGAUGCACGUCUUGACGGUACCUAAUCAGAAAGCCACGGCUAACUACGU
rnacentral:rRNA from 1 species